rnacentral:tRNA from 1 species
GCGGGGGUGGCAGAGCAGCUAUGCGUCCGCCUGCAGAGCGGAUCUACUUGGGUGCAAUUCCCAACCCCCGCUCCA